rnacentral:rRNA from 1 species
GACGAACCGUGCGAACGUUAUUCGGAAUCACUGGGCUUAAAGGGUGCGUAGGCGGCGCCGUAAGUCGGGUGUGAAAUCCCUCGGCUCAACCGAGGAAUUGCGCUUGAUACUGCGGUGCUCGAGGAAGGUAGGGGCGCGUGGAACUUCCGGUGGAGCGGUGAAAUGUAUUGAUAUCGGAAGGAACGCCGGUGGCGAAAGCGGCGCGCUGGGCCUUUUCUGACGCUGAGGCACGAAAGCUAGGGUAGCGAACGGG